rnacentral:rRNA from 1 species
GUAGGGAAUAUUGCGCAAUGGACGAAAGUCUGACGCAGCGACGCCGCGUGAGUGAUGAAGGCCUUAGGGUCGUAAAGCUCUGUUGAAUGGGAAGAAAAAAAUGACGGUACCAUUCGAGGAAGGACCGGCUAACUUCGUGCCAGCAGCCGCGGUAAUACGAGGGGUCCUAGCGUUGUUCGGAAUCAUUGGGCGUAAAGGGUGUGUAGGUGGCCAUGUAAGUCAGGUGUGAAAGCCCCGGGCUCAACCCGGGAAGUGCACUUGAUACUGCGUGGCUUGAGUACCGAAGAGGGUAGUGGAAUUCCAGGUGUAGUGGUGAAAUACGUAGAUAUCUGGAGGAACACCGGUGGCGAAGGCGGCUACCUGGUCGAGUACUGACACUGAGAGACGAAAGCGAGGGGAGCAAAAGGGAUUAGAUACCCUGGUAGUCC